GGGGGAAUAUUGGACAAUGGGCGAAAGCCUGAUCCAGCCAUGCCGCGUGUGUGAAGAAGGUCUUCGGAUUGUAAAGCACUUUAAGUUGGGAGGAAGGGCAGUAAGUUAAUACCUUGCUGUUUUGACGUUACCAACAGAAUAAGCACCGGCUAACUUCGUGCCAGCAGCCGCGGUAAUACGAAGGGUGCAAGCGUUAAUCGGAAUUACUGGGCGUAAAGCGCGCGUAGGUGGUUUGGUAAGAUGGAUGUGAAAUCCCCGGGCUCAACCUGGGAACUGCAUCCAUAACUGCCUGACUAGAGUACGGUAGAGGGUGGUGGAAUUUCCUGUGUAGCGGUGAAAUGCGUAGAUAUAGGAAGGAACACCAGUGGCGAAGGCGACCACCUGGACUGAUACUGACACUGAGGUGCGAAAGCGUGGGGAGCAAACA
rnacentral:rRNA from 1 species